GGGUUAGGGUGUUCCUAUGUAAAAUGGCCUGCAAUUAUUUAAAAUUAAGUAAUAUAGUUUUAAUUAUUUUUUAUUAUUAAGAAUGCUAAAAGCAUUUUUUUCUGAGUAGGAAUGGUGUGGGCGUAUCCCAGCAACAGGACAGUGCGGGUAUAGACCAGUCAUAGAAUUCAGUUGGUACAGUUGACUGCUGAUUGUCCAAUCCAAAUGGCAGUUAAUUAAAAUUUCACACAUUAUCACACACUCCAUUUACCAAUGUGCUUACAAUACAUUUUGGUGUAGAAAGAACCCCAAAGAUAAUUUCUAAUUUAAAAAUACAUAAACGUUUGUCUGUCCUCACCGGUGGUUUAAUGUUUAAAUGCUCAAAGAGGAGAUUUGUCUGGUGGUGUCAGAGUGAGGAAGGAAGUAUACUGACUUGGCACAAGUCAUUCCUCUCCUCAUCCCUCAUUGGUCAGACACAUCCACCAUCAGUCAGUCUUAAGCCACACUCUCAAGAGGGAUGACACGGUUCUGUUGAUCCAUUUUCAUCAGGGCCUGGUCCCUAUUGAAAAUCCCUCAGAGUUGGUUGUUCUAAAUCAGAUCCCUGUAGCUUUGUAUUGAGGUCAAAAGACCUCUCACAAGGGAGACUUGGCCAAGAGUGGCAGUGUUCGUGCUUGUAAAACUGGGGUUUCCUUCAAGGACAUGCUAAUCACAAUGGGUGCACUUAGGCCAACUCCCGAAAAGGUCUGUCCAAAUACACUGAUUUCUGUAAUUCUCUGUUCAAAUUGGUGUAGAUUCCAAAAGCAUCAUCAAACUGCAAUUAAACAGUGGAACAUAGUAAAACAAUCUGCCCUUGUUUACUUUGCACCUGGUCAAUAAAUAACAAUGCCAUGUGAAAAAUAUGGGAACAGGAAGGCGUUCUUUUGCUCCUCUACCAUUUUGGAAAAUGAUUAUAAAUAAACAUGAGGAGCUUAUAGGCAAGGAAUCGGUAAAGAGGUUAAUGGAAGCUAGCUACCGUUUUGGUGCUGUGUAAAUAACAUCAACCAAACAAAUCAAAUUAGCUCACUUAAUAUGCUUUCUGCAUUAGCUUUUCUGUCCAAAAAUAAAUCGUACUAUCGGCUUCUGUUAAAAUGAACCAUACAAAUGAGCUGUUUUCACAUGACGCCUCUCUGAAUGAAAGCAACAGUCAUUAGACCGUGUCUUAAUGGUUGUUACGAACCGGACGCUAAAAUGAAACUCAAAAUGGUCCCCCAUCUUCAGAGCAGCACUCAUGGGAUCAUCUCAACGACUGUUUCGGGGUCGCAGGUGUCACAGUCAACCGGCCCCUUGGACUCUCCUGUGCUCUCUUACAUCACCUUGCUCUCAAGUGGGCCUCGGGUCGCACCGGUCCACCUCAGGCUUCUGACUCCCCUUUCGUCUCAUGGCCUGGAAGGGACUGGUUAUAAACGGGGCUGUUGGUGCUGAACGAGUGGGGAAAGAAGGAAGGUAUCUGGGUGAUGACCGACAGCAGUGGACUUCCCAGGGGGCUUCCCUCCACCGGGGUCAUGGGGAUGAUGACAUCGUCCGCGUCCCAGACGUGGAAGGCGUUGUGGUGGGUGUUGGUCAUGAUGGGGGGCAGGUGGGAGGGACCGCUGGGCUUCAGGUUGCCGUCCUUCAGGUUUUCCUGCUCCACGGGGCCCAGCAAGCAGUCU
ensembl:lncRNA